rnacentral:rRNA from 1 species
UACGUAGGGUGCGAGCGUUAAUCGGAAUUACUGGGGCGUAAAGCGUGCGCAGGCGGUCUGUUAAGACCGGAUGUGAAAUCCCCGGGCUUAACCUGGGAACUGCAUUGGUGACUGGCAGGCUUUGAGUGUGGCAGAGGGAGGUAGAAUUCCACGUGUAGCAGUGGAAAUGCGUAGAGAUGUGGAGGAAUACCGAUGGCGAAGGCAGCCUCCGUGGGCCAACACUGACGCUCAUGCACGAAAGCGUGGGGAGCAAACAGGAUUAGAAACCCCUG